UUGACCUCGGAUCAGGUAGGGUUACCCGCUGAACUUAAGCAUAUCAAUGAGCGGAGGAAAAGAAACCAACCGGGAUUGCCUCAGUAACGGCGAGUGAAGCGGCAAGAGCUCAAAUUUGAAAUCUGGCCCCUUUGGGGUCCGAGUUGUAAUUUGGAGAGGAUGCUUCGGGCGUGGCCCCCGUCUAAGUGCCCUGGAACGGGCCGUCAUAGAGGGUGAGAAUCCCGUCUGGGAUGGGUGGCCUCGCCCGUGUGAAGCUCCUUCGACGAGUCGAGUUGUUUGGGAAUGCAGCUCUAAGCGGGUGGUAAAUUUCAUCUAAAGCUAAAUAUUGGCCGGAGACCGAUAGCGCACAAGUAGAGUGAUCGAAAGAUGAAAAGCACUUUGAAAAGAGAGUUAAAUAGCACGUGAAAUUGUUGAAAGGGAAGCGUUGGCCACCAGACUCGCCCGGGGGGGCUCAGCCGGCACUCGUGCCGGUGCACUCCCCCCCUGGCGGGCCAGCGUCGGUUUGGGCGGUCGGUCAAAGGCCCUGGGAAUGUAACACCCUCCGGGGUGCCUUAUAGCCCAGGGUGCCAUGCGACCUGCCCGGACCGAGGAACGCGCUCCGGCUCGGACGCUGGCGUAAUGGUGGUCAACGGCC
rnacentral:rRNA from 2 species